GUGCCAGCCGCCGCGGUAAUACGGGGGGUGCAAGCGUUACUCGGAAUCACUGGGCGUAAAGAGCAUGUAGGCGGAUUGAUAAGUUUGAAGUGAAAUCCUAUAGCUUAACUAUAGAACUGCUUUGAAAACUGUUAAUCUAGAAUGUGGGAGAGGUAGAUGGAAUUUCUGGUGUAGGGGUAAAAUCCGUAGAGAUCAGAAGGAAUACCGAUUGCGAAGGCGAUCUACUGGAACAUUAUUGACGCUGAGAUGCGAAAGCGUGGGGAGCAAACAGGAUUAGAUACCCCUGUAGUCC
rnacentral:rRNA from 1 species